CGACUGAAAAUCGACAGGUAAUCGUCGUGCCUUUUUCGAAUACAAUACUCAUACCUAGUUUACAUUCAGCCGCUGCCAUCGUAACUCGUGCUGCCGUAUUUGCUCCACAAAAUACUUCUGUGACAGCGUCGACGGCAGUGAGUGUUUACAUUGCCCUGCUAAUUAUAGCAGCGCGAGCAGUAAUUGACCGGAUUGAUCGCAUUGCCGGUUAUGUUGCUGCUCGCGCUGCUCAGUUUACCGCUCUUAACGGGAGUGUCGGGCAGCGUCAGUGCGUGGAGCAUGAUCAGCGCGAGUGACGUGUUUACAUACUCGCGCUUCUUAUUUUUAUGCUCACUUCCCUGCUCACUGCCAAGUGGGCUGAAUGUAAACUAGGUAAGAACGUGUACCUACCUACUUCGUUCAGUUUAAAUUGUGUUCGUUUUGUGACUACAUCGUUCGCCUUUUCGUACACAAUUUAUAAUUUUUCUUCUAAUACACAAUUAUUCAACAAUCCUUUCAAAGAUGAGUGGAUUCCAUUUAUCAGAUGAAUCUACAGAAAAUUGAUUGGAUAUUAUUUCUCCAGUCAGAGAAUAUCCAAAAGGAAAAGUAAGUACCUAAAACAUUGUUAGUGAAUUUUAUUUAUAAAUGUAUUGUUUUUUGUUGCAGCGUAUCAACAGUUGUCAGAAAACAAUUAUAAUAAAUAUGUACAUAGAUAUAAUUGAAAAAACGCUAGUAAUAAUAUAUAACGAUUUGUGUGUAAAUCUGCAUCGCACCACGGGUGUAAAUUGGUCGUAAAUCAAUAGAAAAAAUCAUUAUAGUUUCUAAUAUGAGGGUGCGUUCAGAAAUGUUAUCCACGAUUUCUGGGGAAUUCGAUAGAGAAAGAUUUUAGCACCGCCCACUUAAAUGAACCAUCAACCAAGUUACCUAAGUUAUGUUUAUAGUUUUAUUAGAAAUAGAUUAAGUUUUGGCAUUCACAAGGUUAUAGAUAAGUAAACUACCCAUUAUUUACAUUUUAUAUUAAAUGGCUAAUAAUAACGAAAUUGUAGACAUGGCUGCAAGUUGCUCGAAUAAAUUUCUUCUUGAUUGUGAACUGACUGAACUCUUCAGUAUUGAUGAUGAUGAGGUUACAUUAGAGAAAGAAUCUCCAAUUCGAAUUUAAAAGUACAUAGAAAAUGUUGAUAUACAUAUUAUGUUUUUCAAAAUUUAGGUAAUUUAGGAUAAAAAUAGUAAUAUUUUUUUAUGUAGUGUAAUUUAUUAGUUUUUGUAAUUACUAAUUAGUAAUAAUAUAGUUCAUAUACUUACAACUACAACUUGAGGAAACUUUAAAAAAAUAAUUAAAUCAAAUCGGACAUUAACAAUAAACAGUUAAAAUAAAUCUUGUUAUUUAAUAAACGUGAUAUUAGGUCAAAAUUAUAUCAAAAUAUAAUUGGCGCAAAGUAAGAAGUGGUUUGAACUAUACAUACCACUGUGUGUUAAAGGAGGUGAACUAACCAGGUUGUUGUUUCUGGACGUAAAAGAGGCGUGUCGGGAAUUACCCUCUGGAAAACGUUUCUAAAUGCACUAGGUAUUUGAAUGGUCUUUCCACUGAAUAUUAUUGUUGUAUAUAUUAUUUAAAUAGAUAAUUGUUUGGUGAUAACCUCGAACCAAGAUAAAAAUAAUAUAAUUUAUAUUAAACUAUUUCUAUAAUACACUUCGUGUGUUCCUAAAUCAAUCUGCUAAUCCAGUGGAUUGAUAGUUUAAGAACACGGUUUUUGUUAUUCAGUUGGAACAUAUUGGUUAAUACCAUUAUUUAAGGUUAUCAAUAAGCCAUGAUAACCAAUGUUUUAUUCUUAUUAUUUUUAUCGAGAUCUAGAAGUAUGAACUAUAAAAACAUUUGAUUACAAGUUACAAUAAAAUAUAAUAUAGGUAUACAUAAUAGGAUUAAAAGAUAUACAAAUCGAGUCGGCAUCUAAAUGUUUUAUAAAAUUAUUUCCAGUAUACAAAAACCGGUGUUUUCAUUGUAUUAUACAAAUCGAGCGUUGGAAUUUGAAUUUGAAAACACCAUGGUUAUAUAACCAAUAUUUAGCCAUGGGAAAUACGUUAGCACAUUAAACAACAAAUUUUAACGCAACACAUUUUUUUUUAUCAAAUGUAGGUUAGUAAAUUAUAAUUAUAAUCACAUCUAUCUGGUCAAACACUUCCACCCAAAAAAUAUUAGAUUGCUGAUAAAGCAAUCCGAUUGAUCACUUUCCCUUCAACAGAUUGAUCAGCAGCUGAGUUUAGGGGCAGUUAAAUCUAGCGGCUGACCAAUCUGCUGAAUUUAGAAACACGCGGACUAUUGUAGAAAUGUGUCUUAAUAUUUUAUUAGAGAAAUGAUAAUGUUCUAUAGUAUUAUCAUGAACAAUAGGUUACCUACACGGUUAUAGUUAGAACCGUGUUUACCCAUCUUAAUUCAUGGGCAUUUUUGUGAAGAAAUUAUUUUAGCCUUAAUGCUAGGCUUUUAUAACCUUUAUGUAGGCUUUGCUUUAUGUGCCAUGCAUAUUAUGGCAACACUGGCUUAAGAUUAGUGAUGUGCGGAACCAACUAGUUUUGACUAUGGAUUGACAAUCGAUAGUUUUCUAUCCGUAGUAUUGGCAUCGAAUGGUUUUUAAAAACAAACAAGUAAAUAGAUAGGUUGAGUCUAUCGAGUAGUUCGGUAGUGCCUAUUACUACUUUAGAUACUGUAGUUGCAUAUUGAGCCAUGAUAAAGUAUCCAUAAAAAGUUCUCUUAUGAUUUCAUUAAUUAAAAACAUGAAUACUACAAAUUUUAUGAAAUUAUUACCUGUGGUUGUUAAAGAAUUAGAAACAUUAAAACAAAAUGAUUAUUGUUAAUAUAUUAUAGCAUAACG